GACGAACGCUGGCGGCGUGCCUAAUACAUGCGAGUCGAACGAACUCUGGUAUUGAUUGGUGCUUGCAUCAUGAUUUACAUUUGAGUGAGUGGCGAACUGGUGAGUAACACGUGGGAAACCUGCCCAGAAGCGGGGGGUAUAACACCUGGAAACAGAUGCUAAUACCGCAUAACAACUUGGACCGCAUGGUCCGAGUUUGAAAGAUGGCUUCGGCUGUCACUUUU
rnacentral:rRNA from 1 species